rnacentral:rRNA from 1 species
UAAAUUUUCAACGAUGGAUGUCUUGGCUCCCAUAGCGAUGAAGAACGCAGCGAACUGCGAUAAGCAAUGUGAAUUGCAGAACUACGAAUCAUUGAUAUUCUAAUGCAUCUUG